rnacentral:rRNA from 1 species
AACGAACGCUGGCGGCAUGCCUAACACAUGCAAGUCGAACGAGAUCUUCGGGUCUAGUGGCGCAUGGGUGCGUAACGCGUGGGAAUCUGCCCUUUGGUUCGGAAUAACAGUUGGAAACGACUGCUAAUACCGGAUGAUGACGAAAGUCCAAAGAUUUAUCGCCAGAGGAUGAGCCCGCGUAGGAUUAGCUAGUUGGUGUGGUAAAGGCGCACCAAGGCGACGAUCCUUAGCUGGUCUGAGAGGAUGAUCAGCCAAACUGGGACUGAGACACGGCCCAGACUCCUACGGGAUGCAGCAGUGGGGAAUAUUGGACAAUGGGCGAAAGCCUGAUCCAGCAAUGCCGCGUGAGUGAUGAAGGCCUUAGGGUUGUAAAGCUCUUUUACCCGGGAUGAUAAUGACAGUACCGGGAGAAUAAGCUCCGGCUAACUCCGUGCCAGCCGCCGCCGUAA